UAUUGGGUGCUUGAAGGUGCAGAGAAGGUUGUUGGAUGGGCGUUGAGCCAUCAUUUGAUGCGAAACACUCAAGCGGAUGUUGACAUGAGGCUUGUCGUAUCUCCAGUUGGUAUGGGUUGGAACUCUUACAAGCAAAGCAAAAUGAUACCAAGAGUCUGAAGAAGUCACUCAAGGAUGUUGAGACAGACAAUGAGUUUGAGAAGGCACUUAUGGCUGAUGUCAUUCCCCCCAGUGAUAUUGGGGUGACAUUUGAUGAUAUCGGUGCACUUGAAAGUGUCAAGGAUACAUUAAAAGAGCUGAUCAUGCUUCCAUUACAAAGACCCGAAAUUUUCUCCAAGAGUCAACUAACCAAGGUUUACAUCUGCAAUUUAUCCAUAUUUUGCUCGUCUAAGUAGAUUAGCUUGUAUAAAAGUUUGGAAGUAUUUGACCUUUUUUUUCAAGGAUCAAUUACUCCAGCUUUGUUUUUAUCCAUUUGUU